GACGAACGCUGGCGGCGUGCCUAAUACAUGCAAGUAGAACGCUGAAGAGAGGAGCUUGCUCUUCUUGGAUGAGUUGCGAACGGGUGAGUAACGCGUAGGUAACCUGCCUUGUAGCGGGGGAUAACUAUUGGAAACGAUAGCUAAUACCGCAUAACCAUGGAUGACACAUUUCAUUUAUUUGAAAGGGGCAAUUGCUCCACUACAAGAUGGACCUGCGUUGUAUUAGCUAGUAGGUGAGGUAAUGGCUCACCUAGGCGACGAUACAUAGCCGACCUGAGAGGGUGAUCGGCCACACUGGGACGGAGACACGGCCCAGACGCCUACGGGAGGCAGCAGUAGGGAAUCUUCGGCAAUAGGGGCAACCCUGACCGAGCAACGCCGCGGGAGUGAAGAAGGUUUUCGGAUCGUAAAGCUCUGUUGUAAGUCAAGAACGGGUGUGAGAGUGGAAAGUUCACACUGUGACGGUAGCUUACCAGAAAGGGACGGCUAACUACGUG
rnacentral:rRNA from 1 species